AUGGCGGACUGGUGGCGGCGGCGGCGCGUCGUCGUCGUCGCUGUCGUCGAUGACGACGACUCCUCCUUCGUCGCGGCCCCGGCGGCGCUGCGCGAAGCACCGCAGGGCGGCGCACUGGCGCUCCCUCGCCAUCUUCAGGGAGUCCUGGCGUGCCCAUUCCAGGGCCGCGUCAUCGUCGAGUUCCACGUCGCCGUGGUCCGUUUUCACGGCGGGGAGACCCGGCUCCGUCUUCACCGACGCAAGCCCCGGCUCCGUCUUUGGCUUGACGAAGCGCGGAGGAGGAGCCGACGAGGAGGCGCGCCGGCCGCCCUCGUUGAUGACGAUGCCGGAGCUGCGAGUGCGCCGGCCGAGCGGCGUCUCCGCCGUUGGCUCGGCCUUGACGUCGAGCAGCGCCGGAGAGCCGGAGAAGUGGGAGGAAGAGCGCGAGGAGAAGAAGAGGAGGAGCCGAGAACCUCCUUGGCACCCAUUGCCCGUCGCGUCGGCGGUGCGCCGAGGCGGCCGCCCUGGCCGGGGGUACGCCAACGGCGGGUUGUUGCCGCCCUCGAGGUGCGUCAGCACGCCCUCGAGUGUGCGGCCGGGGACGCCCCACCACAGGUGGCGUCCCUCGCUGUUCUUCAGGCCGCCGACCACCGCCGCGCCGUUGGUGGACGCCAGCCGCUACUGCUGACGGCGUUGGAAGUACGCCGCCCAAGCCGCGUGGUUGUCAGCGGCGUACUGAGGGGGGGCGAGCUGGGCGUCGGUGAGGGAGGCGCGCACGACCUCCACCUCGUCGGCGAAGUAGGAGGGGCGCGCCACGGCGUCAGGCAACGGGGGAAUGGGCCCUCCCCCGUUGCUGAGCCUCCACCCCGUCGGCCCGGCGCGCAUGUCCGGCGGCGCCGGGAUGUUCGCCUGGAACAGGAGCCACGACUCCUGUUCGCGGAGCGUGCGGCAGCCGAAGCCGUUGGCCGCCGCCUCGUCUCCGGGGAAAUGCUCGGCCAUCGGGAGAGGGAGGGCUCGGCGGCGGCGUUCGGGAGAGGUAGAACUCGGCGGCUAGGGCGAGGCUGGUGUGGCUAG
rnacentral:rRNA from 1 species